UACAGAGGGUGCAAACGUUGCUCGGAAUCACUGGGCGUAAAGGGCGUGUAGGCGGGAAGGAAAGUCAGAUGUUAAAUCCCCAGGCUCAACCUGGGAACUGCAUUUGAAACUCCCUUUCUUGAGUACCGGAGAGGAAAGUGGAAUUCCUGGUGUAGAGGUGAAAUUCGUAGAUAUCAGGAGGAACACCAGUGGCGAAGGCGGCUUUCUGGACGGUAACUGACGCUGAGACGCGAAAGCGUGGGGAGCAAACAGG
rnacentral:rRNA from 1 species